AGAGUUUGAUCCUGGCUCAGGACGAACGCUGGCGGCGCGCCUAACACAUGCAAGUCGAACGAGCGAGAGAGAGCUUGCUUUCUCGAGCGAGUGGCGAACGGGUGAGUAACGCGUGAGGAACCUGCCUCAAAGAGGGGGACAACAGUUGGAAACGACUGCUAAUACCGCAUAAGCCCACGGGUCGGCAUCGACCAGAGGGAAAAGGAGCAAUCCGCUUUGAGAUGGCCUCGCGUCCGAUUUGCUAGUUGGUGAGGUAACGGCCCACCAAGGCAACGAUCGGUAGCCGGACUGAGAGGUUGAACGGCCACAUUGGGACUGAGACACGGCCCAGACUCCUACGGGAGGCAGCAGUGGGGAAUAUUGCACAAUGGGGGAAACCCUGAUGCAGCGACGCCGCGUGGAGGAAGAAGGUCUUCGGAUUGUAAACUCCUGUUGUUGAGGAAGAUAAUGACGGUACUCAACAAGUAAGUGACGGCUAACUACGUGCCAGCAGCCGCGGUAAAACGUAGGUCACAAGCGUUGUCCGGAAUUACUGGGUGUAAAGGGAGCGCAGGCGGGAAGACAAGUUGGAAGUGAAAUCCAUGGGCUCAACCCAUGAACUGCUUUCGUAACUGUUUUUCUUGAGUAGUGCAGAGGUAGGCGGAAUUCCCGGUGUAGCGGUGGAAUGCGUAGAUAUCGGGAGGAACACCAGUGGCGAAGGCGGCCUACUGGGCACCAACUGACGCUGAGGCUCGAAAGUGUGGGUAGCAAACAGGAUUAGAUACCCUGGUAGUCCACACCGUAAACGAUGAUUACUAGGUGUUGGAGGAUUGACCCCUUCAGUGCCGCAGUUAACACAAUAAGUAAUCCACCUGGGGAGUACGACCGCAAGGUUGAAACUCAAAGGAAUUGACGGGGGCCCGCACAAGCAGUGGAGUAUGUGGUUUAAUUCGACGCAACGCGAAGAACCUUACCAAGUCUUGACAUCCUGCGACGGUUCUGGAAACAGAGCUUUCCUUCGGGACGCAGAGACAGGUGGUGCAUGGUUGUCGUCAGGUCGUGUCGUGAGAUGUUGGGUUAAGUCCCGCAACGAGCGCAACCCUUAUGGUCAGUUACUACGCAAGAGGACUCUGGCCAGACUGCCGUUGACAAAACGGAGGAAGGUGGGGAUGACGUCAAAUCAUCAUGCCCUUUAUGACUUGGGCUACACACGUACUACAAUGGCGUUAAACAAAGAGAAGCAAGACCGCGAGGUGGAGCAAAACUCAGAAACAACGUCCCAGUUCGGACUGCAGGCUGCAACUCGCCUGCACGAAGUCGGAAUUGCUAGUAAUCGUGGAUCAGCAUGCCACGGUGAAUAC
rnacentral:rRNA from 1 species